rnacentral:rRNA from 1 species
CCUACGGGUGGCAGCAGUGAGGAAUAUUGGUCAAUGGUCGGGAGACUGAACCAGCCAAGCCGCGUGAGGGAGGAAGGUCCAGAGUAUCGUAAACCUCUUUUGUCAGGGAACAAAGGCGGGGACGUGUCCCCGGAUGAGUGUACCUGAAGAAAAAGCAUCGGCUAACUCCGUGCCAGCAGCCGCGGUAAUACGGAGGAUGCGAGCGUUAUCCGGAUUUAUUGGGUUUAAGGGGUGCGCAGGCGGUCUGUUACGUCGGCGGUAAAAGCCGGGGGCUCAACCCCGGCCCGCCGUUGAAACUGGCAGUCUCGAGUUGGAGAGAAGUAUGCGGAAUGCGGGGUGUAGCGGUGAAAUGCAUAGAUAUCGCGCAGAACUCCGAUUGCGAAGGCAGCAUGCCGGCUCCACACUGACGCUGAGGCACGAAAGCGUGGGUAUCGAACAGGAUUAGAUACCCCUGUAGUC